rnacentral:rRNA from 1 species
AAACGAAACAGCUGAAACCUGUACCAUAGAUGGUGAAAGUCCAGUCGUUGAAUCACUACCAACUCCAGCCGUUUGGCUCCCGAGUAGUAUGGGACACGUGAAAUCCCGUAUGAAUUUGCGAGGACCACCUCGUAAGGCUAAAUACUCCUAGGUCACCGAUAGCGAAUAGUACCGCGAGGGAAAGGUGAAAAGAACCCCUUUACGGGGAGUGAAAUAGAACAUGAAACCGUAUGCUUACAAUUUGUGGGAGGAUGAACACAUCUGACCGCAUGCCUGUUGAAGAAUGAGCUGGCGACUUAGAAGAAGUGGCAGGUUAAGAUUUUCCAUCGAAGCCAAAGCGAAAGCAUGUCUGAUAAGGGCUCUCGUCCCUUCUUCUAGACCCGAACCCAGGUGAUCUAACCAUGACCAGAAUGAAGCUUUGGUGAUACGAAGUGGAGGUUCGAACCGACCGAUGUUGAAAAAUCGACGGAUGAGUUGUGGUUAGGGGUGAAAUGCCAAUCGAACUUGGAGCUAGCUGGUUCUCCUCGAAAUGCGUUGAGGCGCAGCGGUUGAUUAUGGACUUCUAGGGGGUAAAGCGCUGUCUCGGUGCGGGCUGCGAAAGCGGUACCAAUCUGUUGCAAACUCGGAAUACCUAGAAUGUUUUCAAUCAGCCAGUGAGACUGCGGGGGAUAAGCUCCGUAGUCAAAAGGGAAACAGCCCAGACCACCAGCUAAGGCUCCUAAAUAAAAGCUAAGUGGCAAAGGAGGUGAAAAUGCAGUGACAAUCAGGAGGUUUGCCUAGAAGCAGCCAUCCUCUAAGGAGUGCGUAAUAGCUCACUGAUCAAGCGUUUUUGCGCCGAAAAUGACCGGAACUAAGUUUUUUGCCGAAGCUGUGGCUACAUCACAUAGAUGAUGUAGGGUAGAGGAGCGUUCCGUCCAGGGGGAAGCCAAGCGCGUAAGCCGCGGUCGACAGGACGGAAGUGAGAAUGUCAGAUUGAGUAACGUAAACAUUGGUGAGAAUCCAAUGCCCCGAAAACUCAAGGGUUCCUGCGCAAGGCUCGUCCGCGCAGGGUCAGUCAGGACCUAAGGUGAGGCCGAAAGGCGUAAUUGAUGGCAAGAAGGUUUAUAUUCCUUCACUAGUCUAGGCUUAGUCCUGAGGGACGAACAAAUAACACUCGGCACAAUGGCCUACCUUGGCAGGUAGGAUCAACCCAUCUGUGUCUGCUGCUAUUUUUUCCAAGAAAAGCUCAUUCGACUUCGAGUCUAGACUACCUGUACCGUAAACCGACACAGGUGAGUGGGUUGAAUAAACUAAGGGGAGCGAGAUAACUCUCUCUAAGGAACUCGGCAAAUUGGCUCUGUACCUUCGGAAGAAAGAGUGCCCCUCAGGGGGCCGCAGUGAAGAGAUCCAGGCGACUGUUUACCAAAAACACAGGUCUCCGCAAAGUCGCAAGACGAAGUAUGGGGGCUGACACCUGCCCAGUGCCAGAAGGUUAAAGAAGUUGGUCAAUCUUUGAUGAAGCUAACAACUGAAGCCCUGGUGAACGGCGGCAGUAACUAUAACUGUCCUAAGGUAGCGAAAUUCCUUGUCGGGUAAGUUCCGACCCGCACGAAAGGUGUAACGAUCUGGAUACUGUCUCAGAGAGAGACUCGGUGAAAUAAAACUAUCUGUGAAGAUGCGGAUUACCUGCACACGGACAGAAAGACCCUAUGAAGCUUUACUGUAACCUGGAAUUGCUCUCAAGCUUAUCUUGCGCAGCUUAGGUGGGAGGCUAUGAACCUUUUCUUCCGGGAAGAGGGGAGCCAUCAGUGAGAUACCACUCUUGGUAAGCUAGAGCGCUCAGUCUUCACCGUUAUCCGGUAAGACGACAGUUUCAGGCGGGCAGUUUGACUGGGGCAGUCACCUCCCAAAAGGUAAUGGAGGUGCACAAAGGUUCCCUCAGGUUGGACGGAAAUCAACCAUAGAGUGUAAAAGCAUAAGGGAGCUUGACUGCGAGACUGACAUGUCAAGCAGAGACGAAAGUCGGUUUUAGUGAUCCGACGGUGCUGCGUGGAAAGGCCGUCGCUCAACGGAUAAAAGUUACUCUAGGGAUAACAGGCUAAUCUCCCCCAAGAGUUCACAUCGACGGGGAGGUUUGGCACCUCGAUGUCGGCUCGUCGCAUCCUGGAGCGGAAGUACGUUCCAAGGGUUGGGCUGUUCGCCCAUAGAAA